rnacentral:rRNA from 1 species
UACAGAGGGUGCAAGCGUUAAUCGGAAUUACUGGGCGUAAAGCGUGCGUAGACGGUUAUGUAAGUCAGGUGUGAAAGCCCCGGGCUCAACCUGGGAAUUGCAUUUGAGACUGCAUAGCUAGGGUGCGGAAGAGGGAAGCGGAAUUUCCGGUGUAGCGGUGAAAUGCGUAGAUAUCUGGAGGAACACCGGUGGCGAAGGCGGCAUCCUGGACCGAGAUUGACGCUGAGACGGCGAAAAGCGUGGGGAGCAACAGG